rnacentral:rRNA from 1 species
GAUGAACGCUGGCGGCGUGCCUAACACAUGCAAGUCGAGCGAUUCUCCUCGGAGAAGAGCGGCGGACGGGUGAGUAACGCGUGGGUAACCUGCCCUGUACACACGGAUAACAUACCGAAAGGUAUGCUAAUACGAGAUAAUAUGCUUUUAUCGCAUGAUAGAAGUAUCAAAGCUCCGGCGGUACAGGAUGGACCCGCGUCUGAUUAGCUAGUUGGUAAGGUAACGGCUUACCAAGGCGACGAUCAGUAGCCGACCUGAGAGGGUGAUCGGCCACAUUGGAACUGAGACACGGUCCAAACUCCUACGGGAGGCAGCAGUGGGGAAUCUUGCGCAAUGGGCGAAAGCCUGACGCAGCAACGCCGCGUGCGGGAUGACGGCCUUCGUGGUUGUAAACCGCUUUCAGCAGGGACGAAAUUGACGGUACCUGCAGAAGAAGCCCCGGCUAACUACGUGCCAGCAGCCGCCGUAAUAC